UUGGUUGUGUCACUCAAACUAAUACGCUGGGAGGAACUAGCUGUGAUAGUUAUUAUGUUCAACAAAACAGAGAGUUUGGGAAGUUUGCCUUGCAAGACUCAUUGUCAUUCACAGUUCUGAGUUUUUGGAAGCUUUAUUCUGCAUCGUUUAAUCUCUUUAAACAAGUCUCCUGUUCAGCUCUUUCAGAGGGAUUGGCACACUUGGUAUGAAUACCACACUCCUACCAACUCCUACAAUAACAUAUGCUGACUCUCAUUUAGCAUUGCACUAAUUCUAUCUGCUCUCCCUUAAUGCCCGGGAGUUAGAAAAGAGGAGAAAGUCACCCUCAGGAGUUUUCCCAUUGGUCUGGGUACAGAUAGGAGGAUGCAGAGGCUCUGUGACCAGCACUUCUAAACCACGACAGACGCUCCUUGUGGGAGAACGCUUUUCAAAGCAUCUCAGACAUUUCACAUUUACUCCUCGAAAAGCUGAACGACGAGUAAACCUGAACAAAUUUGGUUUGAGAACAACAGAAAAACUCAGCUCCAUGUCCACAUCCGUCUUACUGUUUUUCCGGGUCUAAAGAAGUUAACGCUCUACGUGCAGAAAGGAAGCCCGGCUGCCGACAGCCGAGGAAGCGGGAAAGGGCUGUGAGGCGGGCGGUGCCAUGGCGCCGAGGCCGGGCUGCUCCCCGCCGCUCCCCGGGCGCGCUCCGCCACCUGGUGGGCAGCUGGGCGCCGUGCGGAUACAUCGUUUGGUUCGGCCUACAAAUGUCUUUCGUUCAAAUAUAUCUGUAUUUUUAUUAAGCAUUUGUAAACUCAAGCUUGCCGAUUUCAAGGUGAGAAUAUUACUUAUCGAAUGUUUCUUUUUGCACUGACAGCUUUUUGACUUUUGAGCAGAACUGUUUCCUGCCUAAGAGGAUCGAAAUGGUCUGGACUGCUUGGAAAGUGUGGAUGAGCUCUUGUUCUACAGCUUCUCCAGCAUUAUCUCAUGUCUCUGUCUUCCUGCACUUGAUUGGGUACAAAUACACGAUCCAUCGCUCACAUAAAUUACUGUGUGCUGCAAUGGAGAAAGUCUUAGUGCUGUGGAGCGUGGCAGGCGCCCAAACAAUGAGGUCAUCUUGUGACAUAAACGCGGCUGUCCGCAACGCUUGGAGGCAAUUUCAGCCAUGUCACUUAACAAACAGUUUGCAUGUAAUCUAUCAGGAGAAGAAUGAAAAGACUUUUAUAUCUCA